UACGUAGGGUGCAAGCGUUGUCCGGAAUUAUUGGGCGUAAAGAGCUCGUAGGCGGUCUGUUGCGUCGGCUGUGAAAACCCGGGGCUCAACUCCGGGCCUGCAGCCGAUACGGGCAGACUAGAGUUCGGCAGGGGAGACUGGAAUUCCUGGUGUAGCAGUGAAAUGCGUAGAGAUCCGGAAGAACACCGGUGGCGAAGGCGGCCUGCUGGGCAGUAGCUGACGCUGAUGCGCGACAGCGUGGGGAGCAAACAGG
rnacentral:rRNA from 1 species